UACAGAGGUCCCGAGCGUUGUUCGGAUUCAUUGGGCGUAAAGGGCUCGUAGGCGGCCAACUAAGUCGGAUGUGAAAUCCCCAGGCUUAACCUGGGAACUGCAUCCGAUACUGGAUGGCUUGAAUCCGGGAGAGGGAUGCGGAAUUCCAGGUGUAGCGGUGAAAUGCGUAGAUAUCUGGAGGAACACCGGUGGCGAAGGCGGCAUCCUGGACCGGUAUUGACGCUGAGGCGCGAAAGCCAGGGGAGCAAACGGG
rnacentral:rRNA from 1 species